rnacentral:rRNA from 1 species
UGAGUUUGUCCUGGCUCAGGAUGAACGUUGGCGGCGUGCCUAAUACAUGCAAGUCGAACGGGAAGGCUGGCUUUCGGGUCGCUGGAGAGUGGCUGAACGGGUGAGUAACGCGUAACUGAUCUGCCCCAUAGACUGGGAUAACCUUUGGAAACAGAGGCUAAUACUGGGAUGAACUUGGCGGAGUUAGGUUUCUGCUGAGGAAAGGUUUAGGCGCUAUGGGAUGAGGUUGCGGUCCAUCAGCUAGUUGGUGAGGUAAAGGCUCACCAAGGCGAUGACGGAUAGGGGAUCUGAGAGGGUGGCCCCCCACACUGGGACUGAGACACGGCCCAGACUCCUACGGGAGGCAGCAGUAAGGGAUAUUGCACAAUGGGCGGAAGCCUGAUGCAGCGACNCCGCGUGGGCGAAGAAGGUUU